rnacentral:lncRNA from 13 species
GUGUUCCUGUUAGACAGUAUGUGGUCCUAACCAGUGUUCCUGUUAGACAGUAUGUGGUCCUAACCAGUGUUCCUGUUAGACAGUAUGUGGUCACUGUCAGUGUUCCUGUUAGACAGUAUGUGGUCCUAACCAGUGUUCCUGUUAGACAGCAUGUGGUCCUAACCAGUGUUCCUGUUAGACAGUAUGUGGUCCUAACCAGUGUUCCUGUUAGACAGUAUGUGGUCCUAACCAGUGUUCCUGUUAGACAGUAUGUGGUCACUGUCAGUGUUCCUGUUAGACAGUAUGUGGUCCUAACCAGUGUUCCUGUUAGACAGUAUGUGGUCUCUGCAAGUGUCCCUGGCAGAAACCAUAGCUCUGAUGCUGGGACAGAGAGAGGGACAGGAGAGACCUGUAACACCAGCCAAGGCUCAGGACCCUUCACCGCAGGAGUGUUAGUCCUGGGCCCCCCAGCAGAGGCUUGUCCCCCUUGGGCACCCCACAGGCCUUGGAGCAGGGGACCCUACAGCAGUCAUCAAGAGAGCCUCAGCCACCUGAUCCCCACACCUUUACACCUUCAGGUCUGAUAACAUAGCCGCUGUAUCUCCGUUACACAAGCACACUCUGCACAUUCUAUCUGCAGUUAUAGUAUGAGUAAUUGAGUGGUCCAUGACUAGGGCCCAGACCUGAUAAGGGGAAACGCUGGGCCCUAGUUAUAGGCUUGGACCAGAGUCACAAUGAGAUGCUGAACAUUUCUGUUCCUCUUUGAUCUCAGAGCCGGAGCCAGUAGUGACCCCUGUCACCACUCCAGUCCCCUGCUGGCCCCUGGGGAGAUGCUUCACAGCCCUGGCUGAGGAGCAACCCCACAGCCCUGCAGAGGAUCAACCCCACAGCCCUGGCUAAGGAGCAACCCCACAGCCCUGCAGAGGAGCAACCCCACAGCCCUGCAGAGGAGCAACCCCACAGCCCUGCAGAGGAUCAACCCCACAGCCCUGCG